rnacentral:rRNA from 1 species
GACGAACGCUGGCGGCGUGCUUAACACAUGCAAGUCGAACGGAAAGGCCCUGCUUUUGUUGGGGGCUCGAGUGGCGAACGUGUGAGUAACACGGGAGUAACCUGCCCUUGACUGGGGGAUAACUUCAGGAAACUGGGGCUAAUACCGGAUAGGAGCUCCUGCUGCAUUGUGUGGGUUGGAAAGGUUCGGCGGUUGGGGAUGGACGCGCGGCUUAUCAGCUUGGUGGUGGGGUAGUGGCUUACCAAGGCUUUGACGGGUAGCCGGCCUGAGGGGGUGACCGGCGACAUUGGGACUAAGAUACGGCCCAGACUCCUACGGGAGGCAGCAGUGGGGAAUAUUGCACAAUGGGCGGACGCCUGAUGCAGCAACGCCGCGUGCGGGAUGACGGCCUUCGGGUUGUAAACCGCUUUCGCCUGUGACGAAGCGUGAGUGACGGUAAUGGGUAAAGAAGCACCGGCUAACUACGUG